rnacentral:rRNA from 1 species
GACCCCAGGUCAGGCGGGACUACCCGCUGAAUUUAAGCAUAUCAAUAAGCCCGAAGAAAUAAA